CGCCCCGCUCGGAUCAGGAUUGACCAAAUCCACAGUAUGCCCCCAAAUCAUUCCAAGCGCUCCCAACCGCUCGCAACCCUAAUCUAAUCCGCCGCCAUCCCCUCCUGGUGCUCAAACCAGCCGACACCCAUGGCGACGCCGCCGGCUCCCUCCUCCCGCAACUCCGUCCGCGCCCAUGUCCACCGCCAUGGCGCUGGGGAAAUACACGCCCGCCUCCAUGGUGGGUGCCGCCUCCGGCCAGUACUACGUCGGCAUCGCUGCCAAACUGGAGGCCUCGGCAAUGCCUUCCCUGACGACUUCGACAACCAAGACCUCGAGUGACUGCCAUCGCCGCGCGCUGCUUUGCUCGCGGGCCCAUCUUGGCUGGCAGAGGCGGCUUGGUCUCGACCAGGCCUAAGGCAGGGCCCGGAGGGCGCGUAGGCAGCGGGUUUGGGCAUGAUGACCGUCUGGCCGGGCGGAGGAGGCGCGGCCACGGCGGGGCUCGGCUGUUGGCAUGGAGCGGAAGAUGCGAGGAGGGCGUGCCUUGUGCUCGUCCCCUGGGCCUGAUCCGCUGCUAGCGCUGUUCCCGGCUGCCACUGGCUGCUCCACCGAUGGCUGCUAUGGUGCGAAGGCGGACCUGACCAUCCUUUCGGGGUCUCCGCUGGUGGUGGCUGCGGCGACGGACUCCUGCUGCUAGUUGAGAGGAGCUGCUGGUUGGGAGGAGCGGGAACCUGUACGCUUUCAUUAUUGACAUCAUCUCCGACGAGGUAGAUCCUGAGCGCGAUGUCGCCCGAGACGCGUGAGAAGAGCCCCUGUUUCUCUAGUGUGUACCUCUGUAGAACCUUCUUGCUUGCCGUUUCAGAAACCUGUCGGUGAUGUAGCUAAAGUUUUUUUUCCAGGUAGGGGUAGAGAGAAGAGGACGACGCUGCUGCUCGUUACUGUUGGAAAGGGCUGCUGCAUAUGGAUAGGAGCAUCAUGAACUAAUGGUGAACAUCAUUUGCAAAUUUUACUUGACCAAGGAUCAUUCUAUACAACGGAGGAAGAUCACGAGAAGUAAAAGUGUUGUCUAAGAUGUACAUUCUUUGGCUGUGGAGUCUGUAGACUAUACAUAUACACCCAUUGUUCUGGCGAGGCUGUGUACACUGUACAUCAAAUGAAUUUUACGAUACUUCUUGUUGCGUUUUACGCUACAAUUAUCUCAAAUCACUUGUUGUAUUGUACACUACAUUUUUUGCCUCGCAUGGAAACUUAACUA